AUGAACGCUAGCUACAGGCUUAACACAUGCAAGUCGAGGGGCAGCAUUUUAGUUUGCUUGCAAACUAAAGAUGGCGACCGGCGCACGGGUGAGUAACACGUAUCCAACCUGCCGAUAACUCGGGGAUAGCCUUUCGAAAGAAAGAUUAAUAUCCGAUAGUAUAUUAAAACCGCAUGGUUUUACUAUUAAAGAAUUUCGGUUAUCGAUGGGGAUGCGUUCCAUUAGUUUGUUGGCGGGGUAACGGCCCACCAAGACUACGAUGGAUAGGGGUUCUGAGAGGAAGGUCCCCCACAUUGGAACUGAGACACGGUCCAAACUCCUACGGGAGGCAGCAGUGAGGAAUAUUGGUCAAUGGACGAGAGUCUGAACCAGCCAAGUAGCGUGAAGGAUGACUGCCCUAUGGGUUGUAAACUUCUUUUAUAUGGGAAUAAAGUUUUCCACGUGUGGGAUUUUGUAUGUACCAUAUGAAUAAGGAUCGGCUAACUCCGUGCCAGCAGCCGCGGUAAUACGGAGGAUCCGAGCGUUAUCCGGAUUUAUUGGGUUUAAAGGGAGCGUAGGUGGAUUGUUAAGUCAGUUGUGAAAGUUUGCGGCUCAACCGUAAAAUUGCAGUUGAAACUGGCAGUCUUGAGUACAGUAGAGGUGGGCGGAAUUCGUGGUGUAGCGGUGAAAUGCUUAGAUAUCACGAAGAACUCCGAUUGCGAAGGCAGCUCACUAGACUGCAACUGACACUGAUGCUCGAAAGUGUGGGUAUCAAACAGGAUUAGAUACCCUGGUAGUCCACACAGUAAACGAUGAAUACUCGCUGUUUGCGAUAUACAGUAAGCGGCCAAGCGAAAGCAUUAAGUAUUCCACCUGGGGAGUACGCCGGCAACGGUGAAACUCAAAGGAAUUGACGGGGGCCCGCACAAGCGGAGGAACAUGUGGUUUAAUUCGAUGAUACGCGAGGAACCUUACCCGGGCUUAAAUUGCAUUUGAAUAAUCUGGAAACAGGUUAGCCGCAAGGCAAAUGUGAAGGUGCUGCAUGGUUGUCGUCAGCUCGUGCCGUGAGGUGUCGGCUUAAGUGCCAUAACGAGCGCAACCCUUAUCUUUAGUUACUAACAGGUCAUGCUGAGGACUCUAGAGAGACUGCCGUCGUAAGAUGUGAGGAAGGUGGGGAUGACGUCAAAUCAGCACGGCCCUUACGUCCGGGGCUACACACGUGUUACAAUGGGGGGUACAGAAGGCAGCUACCUGGCGACAGGAUGCUAAUCCCAAAAACCUCUCUCAGUUCGGAUCGAAGUCUGCAACCCGACUUCGUGAAGCUGGAUUCGCUAGUAAUCGCGCAUCAGCCAUGGCGCGGUGAAUACGUUCCCGGGCCUUGUACACACCGCCCGUCAAGCCAUGAAAGCCGGGGGUACCUGAAGUACGUAACCGCAAGGAGCGUCCUAGGGUAAAACUGGUAAUUGGGGCU
rnacentral:rRNA from 1 species